GAUGAACGCUGGCGGCGUGCCUAAUACAUGCAAGUCGAGCGAACGGACGAGAAGCUUGCUUCUCUGAUGUUAGCGGCGGACGGGUGAGUAACACGUUGAUAACCUACCUAUAAGACUGGGAUAACUUCGGGAAACCGGAGCUAAUACCGGAUGAUAUUUUGAACCGCAUGGUUCAAAAGUGAAAGACGGUCUUGCUGUCACUUAUAGAUGGAUCCGCGCUGCAUUAGCUAGUUGGUAAGGUAACGGCUUACCAAGGCAACGAUGCAUAGCCGACCUGAGAGGGGGAUCGGCCACACUGGAACUGAGACACGGUCCAGACUGCUACGGGAGGCAGCAGUAGGGAAUCUUCCGCAAUGGGCGAAAGCAUGACGGAGCAACGCCGCGUGAGUGAUGAAGGUCGUCGGAUCGUAAAACUCUGUUAUUAGGGAAGAACAUAUGUGUAAGUAACUGUGCACAUCUUGACGGUACCUAAUCAGAAAGCCACGGCUAACUACGUG
rnacentral:rRNA from 1 species